UACGUAGGGUGCAAGCGUUACUCGGAAUUACUGGGCGUAAAGCGUGCGCAGGCGGCUUUGCAAGUCAGAUGUGAAAUCCCCGGGCUUAACCUGGGAACUGCAUUUGUUACUGCAUGGCUGGAGUGCGGCAGAGGAGGAUGGAAUUCCGCGUGUAGCAGUGAAAUGCGUAGAUAUGCGGAGGAACACCGAUGGCGAAGGCAAUCCCCUGGGCCGGCACUGACGCUCAUGCACGAAAGCGUGGGGAGCAAACAGG
rnacentral:rRNA from 1 species